CUGCCCGACCCGCCGCCCAGGCGGUGCCAUGUGCUGCACAAGAAGGGCUCCUGCUGCCCAGAGUUGCAUUGUCCUGAUGGUGUCAAACUUAUGGAGCACGGUGCAUCGGCUCGGUUUGAGAGCGACGAUAUCUCUGACAUCGCCACUCCUGCGUCUAUAGCACAUGCGUGCGUGGAGGGCGGCACGGUGUACGCGGCGGGCUCGGCCAUGGGCUCGGGCGUGGCGUGCGAGCAGUGCUUCUGCCUG